rnacentral:piRNA from 1 species
UUUUUAUUUUGGUCGAAGGGUGCAGGAAUAU